rnacentral:ncRNA from 1 species
UCUCAGUAGAUAUUUCAAAGAAUUGAAACUAACAGCAAGAUAAUCGGGAAGUUGGUGCGUGGUCAUGAUGAUCACAACCCCAACACUGCCCCCGCAACGGUAAUGUGCACAGCACAGAGUCCGGAGACCGGCCUUGAAGUAAACUUAAAA